GUCCAGACUCCUACGGGAGGCAGCAGUGGGGAAUAUUGCACAAUGGGGGAAACCCUGAUGCAGCAACGCCGCGUGAAGGAAGACGGUUUUCGGAUUGUAAACUUCUGUUCUUAGUGAAGAAGAAUGGCGGUAGCUAAGGAGCAAGCCACGGCUAACUACGUGCCAGCAGCCGCGGUAAUACGUAGGAUGCGAGCGUUAUCCGGAUUUAUUGGGUUUAAAGGGUGCGCAGGCGGAGGUGCAAGUCAGCGGUCAAAUUGCGGGGCUCAACCCCGUACUGCCGUUGAAACUGCAUCCCUUGAGUGCGCGAGAAGUAUGCGGAAUGCGUGGUGUAGCGGUGAAAUGCAUAGAUAUCACGCAGAACUCCGAUUGCGAAGGCAGCAUACCGGCGCGCAACUGACGCUCAUGCACGAAAGCGUGGGUAUCGAACAGGAUUAGAUACCCCAGUAA
rnacentral:rRNA from 1 species